AUACGGAGGGUGCAAGCGUUACUCGGAAUCACUGGGCGUAAAGCGCGCGCAGGCGGUCUUUUAAGUUGGAUGUGAAAGCCUACGGCUCAACCGUAGAACUGCAUCCAAAACUAUUAGACUAGAGUGUGAGAGAGGAAGAUGGAAUUAGUUGUGUAGGGGUAAAAUCCGUAGAGAUAACUAGGAAUACCAAAAGUGAAGGCAAUCUUCUGGAACACUACUGACGCUGAGGCGCGAAAGCGUGGGGAGCAAACAGGAUUAGAAACCCCAGUAGUCC
rnacentral:rRNA from 1 species